CAGCACCGCGGUAAUACAGAGGGUGCGAGCGUUAAUCGGAUUUACUGGGCGUAAAGCGUGCGUAGGCGGCUUUUUAAGUCGGAUGUGAAAUCCCUGAGCUUAACUUAGGAAUUGCAUUCGAUACUGGGAAGCUAGAGUAUGGGAGAGGAUGGUAGAAUUCCAGGUGUAGCGGUGAAAUGCGUAGAGAUCUGGAGGAAUACCGAUGGCGAAGGCAGCCAUCUGGCCUAAUACUGACGCUGAGGUACGAAAGCAUGGGGAGCAAACAGGAUUAGAUACCCCUGUAGUCCCUGUCUCUUAUACC
rnacentral:rRNA from 1 species